AUUGAACGCUGGCGGCAUGCCUUACACAUGCAAGUCGAACGGCAGCACGGGGCAACCUGGUGGCGAGUGGCGAACGGGUGAGUAACAUAUCGGAACGUACCCAGAAGUGGGGGAUAACGCAGCGAAAGUUGCGCUAAUACCGCAUACGAUCUACGGAUGAAAGUGGGGGACCUGUAAGGGCCUCAUGCUUUUGGAGCGGCCGAUAUCUGAUUAGCUAGUUGGUGAGGUAAAAGCUCACCAAGGCGACGAUCAGUAGCUGGUCUGAGAGGACGACCAGCCACACUGGAACUGAGACACGGUCCAGACUCCUACGGGAGGCAGCA
rnacentral:rRNA from 1 species